rnacentral:rRNA from 1 species
GAUGAACGCUGGCGGCGUGCUUAACACAUGCAAGUCGAACGGAAAGGCCUCCGCUUGCAGGGGUACUCGAGUGGCGAACGGGUGAGUAACACGUGGGUGAUCUGCCCUGCACUUCGGGAUAAGCCUGGGAAACUGGGUCUAAUACCGGAUAGGACAAUGGUUUGGAUGCCGUUGUGGAAAGUUUUUCGGUGUGGGAUGAGCUCGCGGCCUAUCAGCUUGUUGGUGGGGUAAUGGCCUACCAAGGGGUCGACGGGUAGCCGGCCUGAGAGGGUGUACGGCCACAUUGGGACUGAGAUACGGCCCAGACUCCUACGGGAGGCAGCAGUGGGGAAUAUUGCACAAUGGGCGCAAGCCUGAUGCAGCGACGCCGCGUGGGGGAUGACGGCCUUCGGGUUGUAAACUCCUUUCGCUAGGGACGAAGCGCAAGUGACGGUACCUGGAGAAGAAGCACCGGCUAACUACGUG